rnacentral:rRNA from 1 species
UCGAGGGGCAGCAUGAACUUAGCUUGCUAAGUUUGAUGGCGACCGGCGCACGGGUGAGUAACACGUAUCCAACCUGCCGAUGACUCGGGGAUAGCCUUUCGAAAGAAAGAUUAAUACCCGAUGGCAUAGUUCUUCCGCAUGGUGGAACUAUUAAAGAAUUUCGGUCAUCGAUGGGGAUGCGUUCCAUUAGGCAGUUGGCGGGUAACGGCCCACCAAACCAACGAUGGAUAGGGGUUCUGAGAGGAAGGUCCCCACAUUGGAACUGAGACACGGCCCAGACUCC